UGGGUAGACUCUCCAUCAUUCGU
rnacentral:miRNA from 1 species